rnacentral:lncRNA from 10 species
UGCUGUAGAAAAGCACCAUAAACUGAGUGGCUUAACCAACAGAAAUCUAUUGGCUCACAGUUCUGAAGGUUCAAAGUCCUGGAUGAAGGAUCUAUUUGCCUCAGUUCGAUUGGUGGAACCUAGACUCGUGUCGUUAGUGCUCUCACUAUUCAAAAACAAAAACAAAUAAGAAAAAGGAGAAACAAAGUCUUUCUGUCCUUUAAAAUGUGGAUGACUCCCAUGGCCUCUGCCUAACCCACCUGACAUACUGAAUUUGUGAGUGUUCAUCCUUCUCACCCCACUCCUAAUAUUCUAGCCGUACUUCCAGCCUGGCUUUGUUCUGGCCAGC